UCGAGUUUACCGCUCUACAAACCCUUUGUGAACAUACCUAAACUGUUGCUUCGGCGGGCAGGGGGUCCCUCCGGGGACGCCCUCCCGGCCCCGCCCCCCUACCAGGGGACGUGGCGCCCGCCGGAGGAUACCCAACUCUAUUUUAACGACGUUUCUUCUGAGUGGCACAAGCAAAUAAUUA
rnacentral:misc_RNA from 1 species